AAAAUCAGUGCACAGGAUAAAAGCGAAAUGAUUCUAAUGAAUGGCCCAGCCCUCCCUCACCCCUGAUGAGGGAAACCCCGUGGGAUUCACUGAGCAGCCAGCCACUAACUCAUUUGGAUCGGACAUGCUGGAGAGGCAACGAGUCCAUGAGUUCACGCGAGAAGCAAGACGCUUAAACUGACUGAAAGUGGAAGUAUGAGGAAGAGAAGGAGGAGGAUCACACAGUUGGAUGCUCUUUGAUGCACAGUAGGAUACCACCUACAUCAGAGGAUGUCCCAAAACACUGCCAUCGAACUGAGAUGAUUGCUCAACCUCCUCAGCCUGUCGGAAUAUUUUUAAAGGUUGUUUUCAGGACUGGCUAAAACCUGCCAGAGGAGGAAGUUAAAAUAAGACACUCAAAGACGGGUAGAUACAUAAUGGAAAAAAUUAUAGACAUCAACAAAAAUAAAACCACCCAAAGUCCACACAAACAUUGUUAAUUUCACUUGUUCUACAUUAGAUGUUUGAUGGCAAAAUAACUGAUAAAAAAUAAAGAUUUUCAAAGAA